rnacentral:rRNA from 1 species
UCUAAGCUUCAGAUAGUCAGGAAUCGUACCCCAAACCGACACAGGUGGUCGGGUAGAGAAUACCAAGGCGCUUGAGAGAACUCGGGUGAAGGAACUAGGCAAAAUGGUACCGUAACUUCGGGAGAAGGUACGCUCUUGAUGGUGAAGUCCCUCGCGGAUGGAGCUGACGAGAGUCGCAGAUACCAGGUGGCUGCAACUGUUUAUUAAAAACACAGCACUGUGCAAAAUCGCAAGAUGACGUAUACGGUGUGACGCCUGCCCGGUGCCGGAAGGUUAAUUGAUGGGGUUAGCGCAAGCGAAGCUCUUGAUCGAAGCCCCGGUAAACGGCGGCCGUAACUAUAACGGUCCUAAGGUAGCGAAAUUCCUUGUCGGGUAAGUUCCGACCUGCACGAAUGGCGUAAUGAUGGCCACGCUGUCUCCACCCGAGACUCAGUGAAAUUGAAAUCGCUGUGAAGAUGCAGUGUACCCGCGGCUAGACGGAAAGACCCCGUGAACCUUUACUACAGCUUGGCACUGAACAUUGAACCUACAUGUGUAGGAUAGGUGGGAGGCUAUGAAGACGUGACGCCAGUUGCGUUGGAGCCGUCCUUGAAAUACCACCCUUGUAUGUUUGAUGUUCUAACUUAGACCCGUUAUCCGGGUUGAGGACAGUGCCUGGUGGGUAGUUUGACUGGGGCGGUCUCCUCCCAAAGAGUAACGGAGGAGCACGAAGGUGGGCUAAUCACGGUUGGACAUCGUGAGGUUAGUGCAAUGGCAUAAGCCCGCUUAACUGCGAGAAUGACGGUUCGAGCAGGUGCGAAAGCAGGUCAUAGUGAUCCGGUGG